GAAAACUACUCACGGUUUUCUCCACGUAAAUUUUUGUUAUUUCGUAUCUACUCGUAUGUAUACAUAUGUGUAUAUAAUAUGAAGCGGUGUAGGUGAAAUAUAUUAUUUAACAGUUUGUUCCGUACAUAAUCACCAAGCAUCCUUUCAUUAUAGAUUUAAUAUCCGCUUUAAGGUAUCUACCUUUAGGUAACCGAGUAGAGCCUCUUUGUCU